CCAAUGGGACACAAACGUACAACACCACAGAAGAAGAAGGGACCGGAAGUGGCACUGUUUGAGCGGAAGUGCUCGCAGAGCGGGGUCGGGUCUGCAGUGAAAAUUCUCCAGGUACAAAUUCAGAUUAAUUCUCCACUUGUGGAAAGAAACGAUGCUGCCCUCCAAGGAAGCACUCAGACAGUCCAUCAUCCGGAGCCUGACCGCUGUUUCUGAUGAUAUCUGCUCCGCGUUUGAGCGAACCGUGGACGGCUACAAGACGGAGCUGGACCGCCAGCGCAGGCUGAUCGACGUGGUGUGGAACCCCAACAUCCGGCUGCACGUUAGCGACCUUCAGCUUCUCUGUGAUGACCUGCUGGUCCCGGCGCAGAGGAGGCCGCCGGGUCCCGGUCCGGGUCCGAGCCGGGAGAGGGAGCCAGGUCCCGGUCCAAGCCAGGUCAGGGAGCCGGGUCCCGGUCCGAGCCGGGAGAGGGAGCCGGGUCCCGGUCCGAGCCAGGAGAGGGAGCCGGGUCCCGGUCCGGGUCCGAGCCGGGUCAGGGAGCCGGGUCCCGGUCCGAGCCGGGAGAGGGAGCCGGGUCCCGGUCCGGGUCUGAGCCGGGAGAGGGAGCCGGGUCCCGGUCCGAGCCGGGAGAGGGAGCCGGGUUCUCCACAGAACCAUGGCUGCGUGGAGGAUCCUGCAGAGCCGGAGCGCCACACUGACCCCGGCACGGGGAAGUCCUGUGUUGAAUGUCACGUUUGUGGGAAAUCCUUCAAGCUGACCUUCCAGCUGAAGCGGCACUUGAGAUUUCACGCCGACAAGCCGUAUGGCUGCCACACCUAAAGGAAGCGUGGCUUUUUCAGUGUAGGAACUCAGACAGGGGAGGUUCUGACUCCUGCUGAGGCCUCGGAUGACAGGAUGAGGAAAGCAGCUUCAUUGUUACAGUCAAACCUUAUUUAGCUCUGAAUAGUCAGUGUUUAGAUGUCACGAGUAGAGUAGAGUAGAGUAGAGUAGAGUAGAGUAGAGUAGAGUAGAGUAGACAGAAACCUUUGGAGGUCCCUGGACCGCUUUCAGACCAGGCUCUGGUGAAUAACCACGCUCUUUCUGGCGGCUGGUCAGUGGAGUGUGUGUGGCGCAGCAGACCCCGUCUGAUUGGUCCAGCACAUUUCAUCCACCGUGCAUAGCAACACUCACCUCUGUAGAGUUUUAACUUCCUGAUGAGGAUUUGUCGAGCAGCUCUGACCUGAUGAGGAAAUCGUCACUUUGAUUGGAUGAAGCCGACCAGGAAGACAUUCACAUCAGUGGAGGAGCGGCGGGAAGCAGCAGUUACUCAACUUCUGUUGACUUUUCAACAUGUUAAACAGGAAGUCAGGUUAUGCCGUAAGUGUAAGCUUCAGCUUUUUGUGGUUUGUUCACUAGUUUGAGUUUUGCCGCCGGCCGUCCAUCAGGGCGGUUUGGAGCACCUUGCAACACCAGGGGGUGGAGGAUGAAGCCGUCUGAGGUCCUGCAGCAUCUGUCUCUGCUGCAGAGUUCAGGUUCCUGAGCUCCAUGUCUGCCGUUUCCUCCAGAAGAGACUGUUUUCUGGCCAUGCUUCCUGUUUCUCGUGCUUGUUGGAGGAAUUACAGUAACUCCAGAUGUUCGGCGGCGUGCUGCUGUGAAGAUUGUCUGAAUAAACUCAUUGAUUACACACGCCUCUGAGAUGUGUGUGUGUGUGUGUGUGUGUGUGUGUGUGUGUGUGUGUGUGUGUGUGUGUGUGUGUGUGUGUGGUGGUUAAAGUGCUUGAUGUGUUUAAAAACGUCCUCUAAUACAGAGAAAGCAGGUAUUCCAGAUAAAGGGGAGCA
ensembl:lncRNA